AACGAACGCUGGCGGCAUGCCUAACACAUGCAAGUCGAACGAGACCUUCGGGUCUAGUGGCGCACGGGUGCGUAACGCGUGGGAAUCUACCCUCAGGUUCGGAAUAACUCAGAGAAAUUUGAGCUAAUACCGGAUGAUGACGUAAGUCCAAAGAUUUAUCGCCUGAGGAUGAGCCCGCUUAGGAUUAGGUAGUUGGUGAGGUAAAGGCUCACCAAGCCGACGAUCCUUAGCUGGUCUGAGAGGAUGAUCAGCCACACUGGGACUGAGACACGGCCCAGACUCCUACGGGAGGCAGCAGUGGGGAAUAUUGGACAAUGGGCGAAAGCCUGAUCCAGCAAGGCCGCGUGAGUGAUGAAGGCCUUAGGGUUGUAAAGCUCUUUUACCCGGGAUGAUAAUGACAGUACCGGGAGAAUAAGCUCCGGCUAACUCCGUG
rnacentral:rRNA from 1 species